rnacentral:rRNA from 1 species
GACGAACGCUGGCGGCGUGCCUAAUACAUGCAAGUCGAGCGGACGUUUUUGAAGCUUGCUUCAAAAACGUUAGCGGCGGACGGGUGAGUAACACGUGGGCAACCUACCUUAUCGACUGGGAUAACUCCGGGAAACCGGGGCUAAUACCGGAUAACAUCUAGCACCUCCUGGUGCCGGAUUAAAAGAGGGCUUCUUGCUCUCACGAUGAGAUGGGCCCGCGGCGCAUUAGCUAGUUGGAGAGGGAACGGCUCCCCAAGGCGACGAUGCGUAGCCGACCUGGGAGGGUGAUCGGCCACACUGGGACUGAGACACGGCCCAGACUCCUACGGGAGGCAGCAGUAGGGAAUCUUCCGAAAUGGACGAAAGUCUGACGGAGCAACGCCGCGUGAGUGAUGAAGGGUUUCGGCUCGUAAAGCUCUGUUAUGAGGGAAGAACACGUGCCGUUCGAAUAGGGCGGUACCUUGACGGUACCUCAUCAGAAAGCCACGGCUAACUACGUGCCAGCCGCCGCAGUAA